rnacentral:misc_RNA from 1 species
UCGUAACAAGGUCUCCGUAGGUGAACCUGCGGAGGGAUCAUUACACAAUAUGAAAGCGGGCUGGCAUCCUUCGGGGUUACAGCCUUGCUGAAUUAUUCACCCGUGUCUUUUGCGUACUUCUUGUUUCCUUGGUGGGUUCGCCCACCAUAGGACAAACCAUAAACCUUUUGUAAUUGCAAUCAGCGUCAGUAAAAAAAUUAAUAAUUACAACUUUUAACAACGGAUCUCUUGGUUCUGGCAUCGAUGAAGAACGCAGCGAAAUGCGAUAAGUAGUGUGAAUUGCAGAAUUCAGUGAAUCAUCGAAUCUUUGAACGCACAUUGCGCCCUUUGGUAUUCCAAAGGGCAUGCCUGUUCGAGCGUCAUUUGUACCCUCAAGCUUUGCUUGGUGUUGGGCGUCUUGUCUCCAGUUCGCUGGAGACUCGCCUUAAAGUAAUUGGCAGCCGGCCUACUGGUUUCGGAGCGCAGCACAAGUCGCGCUCUCUUCCAGCCAAGGUCAGCAUCCACAAAGCCUUUUUUCAACUUUUGACCUCGGAUCAGGUAGGGAUACCCGCUGAACCUAAGCAUAUC